GAUGAACGCUGGCGUCGUGCCUAAUACAUGCAAGUCGAGCGAACAGAUAAGGAGCUUGCUCCUUUGACGUUAGCGGCGGACGGGUGAGUAACACGUGGAUAACCUACCUAUAAGACUGGGAUAACUUCGGGAAACCGGAGCUAAUACCGGAUAACAUAUUGAACCGCAUGGUUCAAUAGUGAAAGGCGGCUUUGCUGUCACUUAUAGAUGGAUCCGCGCCGUAUUAGCUAGUUGGUAAGGUAACGGCUUACCAAGGCAACGAUACGUAGCCGACCUGAGAGGGUGAUCGGCCACACUGGAACUGAGACACGGUCCAGACUCCUACGGGAGGCAGCAGUAGGGAAUCUUCCGCAAUGGGCGAAAGCCUGACGGAGCAACGCCGCGUGAGUGAUGAAGGUCUUCGGAUCGUAAAACUCUGUUAUCAGGGAAGAACAAAUGUGUAAGUAACUGUGCACAUCUUGACGGUACCUGAUCAGAAAGCCACGGCUAACUACGUG
rnacentral:rRNA from 1 species